AGACAGCAGCAGCCGCGGGAAUACGUAGGGUGCGAGCGUUAAUCGGAAUUACUGGGCGUAAAGCGUGCGCAGGCGGUUGUGUAAGACAGGUGUGAAAUCCCCGGGCUUAACCUGGGAACUGCGCUCGUGACUGCACAGCUAGAGUAUGGCAGAGGGGGGUGGAAUUCCACGUGUAGCAGUGAAAUGCGUAGAGAUGUGGAGGAACACCGAUGGCGAAGGCAGCCCCCUGGGCCAAUACUGACGCUCAUGCACGAAAGCGUGGGGAGCAAACAGGAUUAGAUACCCCGGUAGUCCCUGUCUCUUAUAC
rnacentral:rRNA from 1 species